rnacentral:rRNA from 1 species
AAAGCAGGCUAACGCUUGAAUACAUUAGCAUGGAAUAAUGAAAUAGGACGUUCGAUCCUAUUUUGUUGGUUUCUAGGAUUGACGUAAUGAUUAAUAGGGAUAGUUGGGGGCAUUAGUAUUCAAUUGUCAGAGGUGAAAUUCUUGGAUUUAUUGAAGACUAACUACUGCGAAAAGCAUUUGCCAAGGAUGUUUCAUUAAUCAAGAACGAAAGUUAGGGGAUCGAAGACGAUCAGAUACCGUCGUAGUCUUAACCAUAAACUAUGCCGACUAGGGAUCGGAUGAUGUUAAUUUUUAAUGACUCAUUCGGCGCCUUACG